rnacentral:rRNA from 1 species
CCUACGGGAGGCAGCAGUGGGGAAUAUUGCGCAAUGGGCGAAAGCCUGACGCAGCGACGCCGCGUGAGGGAUGAAGGUCUUCGGAUCGUAAACCUCUGUCAGCAGGGAAGAACGGUCACUGUGCUAAUCAGCAGUGAAUUGACGGUACCUGCAAAGGAAGCACCGGCUAACUCCGUGCCAGCAGCCGCGGUAAUACGGAGGGUGCGAGCGUUAAUCGGAAUUACUGGGCGUAAAGCGCUCGUAGGCGGUAUGUCAAGUCAAGGGUGAAAUCCCCGCGCUCAACGUGGGAACUGCCUUUGAAACUGGCAAACUGGAGUGUGUGAGAGGCUAGUGGAAUUCCAGGUGUAGGAGUGAAAUGCGUAGAUAUCUGGAGGAACAUCAGUGGCGAAGGCGACUAUCUGGCACAUAACUGACGCUGAGGAGCGAAAGCGUGGGUAGCAAACAGGAUUAGAUACCCUAGUAGUC